rnacentral:rRNA from 1 species
UACGGAGGGGGCCAGCGUUGUUCGGAAUCACUGGGCGUAAAGGGCGCGUAGGUGGUGGCUUAAGCGUGCGGUGAAAGCUCGGAGCUCAACUCCGAGUCGGCCGUGCGAACUGGGCUCACUGGAGCAUAGUAGAGGCAGGUGGAAUUCCGGGUGUAGCGGUGGAAUGCGUAGAGAUCCGGAAGAACACCGGUGGCGAAGGCGGCCUGCUGGGCUAUGGCUGACACUGAGGCGCGACAGCGUGGGGAGCAAACAGG